AGCGAACGCUGGCGGCAGGCCUAACACAUGCAAGUCGAACGAACUCUUCGGAGUUAGUGGCGGACGGGUGAGUAACACGUGGGAACGUGCCUUUUGGUUCGGAAUAACUCAGGGAAACUUGUGCUAAUACCGAAUGUGCCCUUCGGGGGAAAGAUUUAUCGCCAUUAGAGCGGCCCGCGUCUGAUUAGCUAGUUGGUGAGGUAACGGCUCACCAAGGCGACGAUCAGUAGCUGGUCUGAGAGGAUGACCAGCCACACUGGGACUGAGACACGGCCCAGACUCCUACGGGAGGCAGCAGUGGGGAAUCUUGCGCAAUGGGCGAAAGCCUGACGCAGCCAUGCCGCGUGAAUGAUGAAGGUCUUAGGAUUGCAAAAUUCUUUCGCCGGGGACGAUAAUGACGGUACCCGGAGAAGAAGCCCCGGCUAACUUCGUG
rnacentral:rRNA from 1 species